AACGUAGGACACAAGCGUUAUCCGGAGUUACUGGGCGUAAAGGGCGUGUAGGCGGAUCGUUAAGUGCCUUGUGAAAUCCCAUGGCUUAACCAUGGAACUGCUUGGCAUACUGGCGGUCUUGAGCCACUUAGGGGCAACCGGAACAAAUGGUGGAGCGGUGAAAUGCGUAGAUAUCAUUUGGAACGCCAAUGGUGCAGACAAGCUGCUGGGGGUGUACUGACGCUGAGGCACGAAAGCCAGGGGAGCAAACGGG
rnacentral:rRNA from 1 species